rnacentral:rRNA from 1 species
UACGAAGGGGGCUAGCGUUGCUCGGAAUCACUGGGCGUAAAGCGCACGUAGGCGGAUUGCUAAGUCAGGGGUGAAAUCCUGGAGCUCAACUCCAGAACUGCCUUUGAUACUGGCGACCUUGAGUCCGGGAGAGGUGAGUGGAACUGCGAGUGUAGAGGUGAAAUUCGUAGAUAUUCGCAAGAACACCAGUGGCGAAGGGCG